rnacentral:rRNA from 1 species
UUGUCGUGACCCUGACCAAAACAGACCGUGAACGCGUUAUCUAUCCUGCCGGCGGCGGCACCGUCCGUCGUUGGCCAAAGUCCUCGAUAACCUCGUCUCCUCGGAGCGGGGGCUCGGGGUAAAAGAACCCACGGCGCCUAAGGCGUCAAGGAACACUAUGCCUAACGCGGGGACACGGCUGGCUUGCUAGCCGUCCCUCAUGUUGCAAUGCUAUUUAAUCCACACGACUCUCGGCAACGGAUAUCUCGGCUCUCGCAUCGAUGAAGAACGUAGCGAAAUGCGAUACCUGGUGUGAAUUGCAGAAUCCCGCGAACCAUCGAGUCUUUGAACGCAAGUUGCGCCCGAGGCCACCUGGCCGAGGGCACGCCUGCCUGGGCGUCACGCCAAACACGCUCCCACCCCCUCAUCGUGAGUGGGAUGCGGCUUCUGGCCCCCCGUCUCGCAAGGGGCGGUGGGCCGAAGAUGCGGCUGCCGGCGUAUCGUGUCGGACACAGCGCGUGGUGGGCGACCUCGCUUUACUUACCGCAGUGCAUCCGGCCUGUUGCCGACGUGAUGGCCUUGAAGGACCCUAUAAACGGAGCGCACGACGCUUCGACCGCGACCCCAGGUCAGGCGGGACUACCCGCUGAGUUUAAGCAUAUAAAUAAGCGGAGGAGAAGAAACUUACAAGGAUUCCC